UGAGGAUCUUUAGACCAAAGUGAGUAUGUUGAGUUUCUCUAAUUUUUGUGUAGUGAGACUUGCUUCUGAGGAGACGUCAAACUGACUUGGUUUGAGCACAAUGCUGUAUGUAACAUGUAUAGGUGUGAAGACAAACAUACCGCCUACAAUUAUUUUUCGUAUUGUGAUGAUCAUCUCUUGGUGCUUGCUCACUGGUCACUGCUGGUACAACAGUCUCUACACGCUAUUAAUUACAUAUUAGACAUGUGUAAGACAUGGGCGUUUCACGAGGCUAACCUCUACCCACUUGUGUUUCUUCUAUUAGACAAACAGUUUUGUGGUGUUUUUUGUAUACAUAAAUAGUUACAGAAAUUUUCUCAUUCACACACAUGUGCUUGCCAAAUGUUUCCAAGACAUUACAGUCUAUUGCCUGUCCUAAUUGUCACAGAGGCCGGGAUGGUUACCAUGUAUUUUUUGUCUUGCUUGUUUUUCUAAGU